rnacentral:rRNA from 1 species
UAGUCCACGCCGUAAACGAUGGAUACUAGCUGUACGUCUACUUCAGGUAGAUGUGUGGCUAAGCGAAAGUGAUAAGUAUCCCACCUGGGGAGUACGAUCGCAAGAUUGAAACUCAAAGGAAUUGACGGGGGCCCGCACAAGCGGUGGAGCAUGUGGUUUAAUUCGAUGAUACGCGAGGAACCUUACCAGGGCUUAAAUGUAAUGGGACAGAUCUAGAGAUAGAUCCUUCUUCGGACUCAUUACAAGGUGCUGCAUGGUUGUCGUCAGCUCGUGCCGUGAGGUGUCAGGUUAAGUCCUAUAACGAGCGCAACCCCUAUCGUUAGUUGCCAACGAGUAAUGUCGGGAACUCUAACGAAACUGCCGGUGCAAACCGUGAGGGAAGGUGGGGAUGACGUCAAAUCAUCACGGCCCUUACGUCCUGGGGCUACACACGUGCUACAAUGGUACUUACAAUGGGAAGCAAAGAUGCAAGUCCUAGCCAAUCCCU